rnacentral:rRNA from 1 species
GACGAACGCUGGCGGCGUGCUUAACACAUGCAAGUCGAACGGAAAGGCCCUGCUUUUGUGGGGUGCUCGAGUGGCGAACGGGUGAGUAACACGUGAGUAACCUGCCCUUGACUUUGGGAUAACUUCAGGAAACUGGGGCUAAUACCGGAUAGGAGCUCCUGCUGCAUGGUGGGGGUUGGAAAGUUUCGGCGGUUGGGGAUGGACUCGCGGCUUAUCAGCUUGUUGGUGGGGUAGUGGCUUACCAAGGCUUUGACGGGUAGCCGGCCUGAGAGGGUGACCGGAAGGCAAGGGACUACAGUGAGGCGGGGACGGAUGCGGGAGGCAGCAGUGGGGAGUGUUGGACAACGGGCAGAAGCAUGAGGCAGGAGCUCCGCGGGGGGGAGGGGGGAGUUGGGGUGGGAGAACGCUGUGGCCGGUGAAGAAGCGUGAGGGGAGGUAGUGGAUUAAGAAGCAGCGGCUAACGCCGUG